CUACGGGUUGCAGCAGUGGGGAAUAUUGCACAAUGGGCGCAAGCCUGAUGCAGCCAUGCCGCGUGUAUGAAGAAGGCCUUCGGGUUGUAAAGUACUUUCAGCGGGGAGGAAGGGAGUAAAGUUAAUACCUUUGCUCAUUGACGUUACCCGCAGAAGAAGCACCGGCGAACUCCGUGCCAGCAGCCGCGGUAAUACGGAGGGUGCAAGCGUUAAUCGGAAUUACUGGGCGUAAAGCGCACGCAGGCGGUUUGUUAAGUCAGAUGUGAAAUCCCCGGGCUCAACCUGGGAACUGCAUCUGAUACUGGCAAGCUUGAGUCUCGUAGAGGGGGGUAGAAUUCCAGGUGUAGCGGUGAAAUGCGUAGAGAUCUGGAGGAAUACCGGUGGCGAAGGCGGCCCCCAGGACGAAGACUGACGCUCAGGUGCGAAAGCGUGGGGAGCAAACAGGAUUAGAUACCCGUGUAGUC
rnacentral:rRNA from 1 species